rnacentral:rRNA from 1 species
UCUUAAAGACUGUUCUCAGUUCGGACUGCAGUCUGCAACUCGACUGCACGAAGCUGGAAUCGCUAGUAAUCGCGGAUCAGCACGCCGCGGUGAAUACGUUCCCGGGCCUUGUACACACCGCCCGUCACACCAUGGAAGUCUGCAAUGCCCGAAGCCGGUGGCCUAACCACUUAUGUGGAAGGAGCCGUCUAAGGCAGGGCAGAUGACUGGGGUGAAGUCGUAACAAGGUACC